rnacentral:misc_RNA from 1 species
UGAUGCUAUUAAUCGCAAGGAGAAAAGGAUGGAGAAACCCAGUACAGCCCCCGUGAUAUCAACUAUUAACAUGGGCAAAGCAAUGGGUUCAGGUACCGGAGUUGGCCGAGCUGGUGCAGGUGCACUACGGGCUCCACCAAACCCAAUGGUAGGUUCUGGCAUGGGCAUGGGUAUGGGUGGUAUGGGUAUGGCUGGUGGUGGUCCUGGCAUGGGAGCAUAUGGAGGAGGGAACCAGCCUUAUCGCGGCAUGGGGAUGAACAGACCUAUGAACAACAUGGGCAUGGGAAUGAACACGGGUCAAGGAUUUCAGAUGCAACAGCCUUCCGGAUUCCCCCCUGGACCUGGAGCUCCCAUGCAGGGAGGUUACAAUCCGCGAAUGGGCAUGGGUCCCUAUGGCCAACAACCAUAUGGUGGAGGAUACCAAUGAAAUUUAGCCCAAUUCUGAAAGUAAGAAACCUUUGUGUCAUAUUAUCGGGAAUGUUUACUAGUCGGUAAGCCUAUUGAACUCACCACUCACCCUCUGUUGUAGAGUUGAUACUUUUUGGGUGCCUGUAGUUUUCCAUGAUAAAAGUUAUAGAGGAGAGUAUAUGUUGAUUCCUUUUCUUCAACUUUGUUCUGCAAUUGCAUUUCCUUUUUAUCUGCCAUUUUGGGGUCAAAGAUUGCUCACAGGGCCCCUUGUAAUGUUUUGCUGUUGUGCCUUUGUACACACUCGAGGAUCACUUGUUUAUGGUGUUCCUCUUUUUGCCACUUGAUCAUAUAUCAUUCAUAUUCAUUUUCAUAUAUUAUUACAAGUAGUGGGAAGUCACA